GUGCUCACAUUGGCAGCACAUAUACGAAAAUUAGAACGAUGCAGAGACGAUUAGCGUGGCCUCUGCUCAAGGACGACACACAAAUUCGUGAAGUGUUCCGCAUAUUA
rnacentral:snRNA from 1 species